UAGGGAAUCUUCCGCAAUGGACGCAAGUCUGACGGAGCAACGCCGCGUGAGUGAAGAAGGAUUUCGGUUCGUAAAACUCUGUUGUUAGAGAAGAACAGCGCAUAGAGUAACUGUUAUGCGUGUGACGGUAUCUAACCAGAAAGCCACGGCUAACUACGUGCCAGCAGCCGCGGUAAUACGUAGGUGGCAAGCGUUAUCCGGAAUUAUUGGGCGUAAAGCGCGCGUAGGCGGUUUUUUAAGUCUGAUGUGAAAGCCCACGGCUCAACCGUGGAGGGUCAUUGGAAACUGGAAAACUUGAGUGCAGAAGAGGAAAGUGGAAUUCCAGGUGUAGCGGUGAAAUGCGCAGAGAUAUGGAGGAACACCAGUGGCGAAGGCGACUUUCUGGUCUGUAACUGACGCUGAUGUGCGAAAGCGUGGGAAUCAAACAGG
rnacentral:rRNA from 1 species